rnacentral:rRNA from 1 species
AUACGUAGGGGGCGAGCGUUGUCCGGAAUGAUUGGGCGUAAAGGGCGCGUAGGCGGCCCGGUAAGUCUGGAGUGAAAGUCCUGUUUUUAAGAUGGGAAUUGCUUUGGAUACUGUCGGGCUUGAGUGCAGGAGAGGUAAGUGGAAUUCCCAGUGUAGCGGUGAAAUGCGUAGAGAUUGGGAGGAACACCAGUGGCGAAGGCGACUUACUGGACUGUAACUGACGCUGAGGCGCGAAAGUGUGGGGAGCAAACAGGAUUAGAUACCCUGGUAGUCCACACGGUAAACGAUGAAUGCUAGGUGUAAGAGGUAUCGACCCCUUUUGUGCCGGAGUCAACACAAUAAGCAUUCCGCCUGGGGAGUACGGCCGCAAGGUUGAAACUUAAAGGAAUUGACGGGG